UACGUAGGCAGCAAGCGUUGUUCGGAGUUACUGGGCGUAAAGGGUGUGUAGGCGGUUCUUUAAGUUUGCUGUGAAAUCUCCCGGCUUAACUGGGGGCGUGCGGGCGAUACGGGCAGACUGGAGUACUGCAGGGGAGACUGGAAUUCCUGGUGUAGCGGUGGAAUGCGCAGAUAUCAGGAGGAACACCGGUGGCGAAGGCGGGUCUCUGGGCUGACACUGACGCUCAUGCACGAAAGCGUGGGGAGCAAACAGG
rnacentral:rRNA from 1 species